UACAGAGGGUGCGAGCGUUGUCCGGAAUCACUGGGCGUAAAGGGCGCGUAGGCGGCUUGAUAAGCGUGCGGUGAAAGCCCGGGGCUCAACCCCGGGUCGGCCGUGCGAACUGUCGAGCUGGAGCACUGUAGGGGCAGGUGGAAUUCCGGGUGUAGCGGUGGAAUGCGUAGAGAUCCGGAAGAACACCGGUGGCGAAGGCGGCCUGCUGGGCAGUGGCUGACGCUGAGGCGCGACAGCGUGGGGAGCAAACAGG
rnacentral:rRNA from 1 species